AUCAAGAUUCAGACAGCAGCCAGUACCGCCAGUUCGGAUAACAACUAUUUUCUGAAGUUAUACGCGUCCGCCCAGUUGACACGAUAAGCUCGCUCACACGCUUCUUAUCACAUCAUCAACACUCAGCACCACGGUGAGCUCGAUCUCCUCCUGCCGUGACCUACUGAGAAAGCUUUCUCCACGACUUAAGAGGAAACACACAUCGAGAUCAUGGCGUCAAGAUCAUGUUCGGUGUGCCUAAACCCUUGGGAUCGUGAGGAUCAUCUUCCAGUGGCAUUGCCUGCUUGUGGACACAGCUUCUGCAGGAAUUGUCUUGUAGUGAUGUAUAGAAAUGACGAGUGUAUUAGGUGUCCCACAUGCAGGAAGGUGUACAAAGACAUAAGGCCUGAAGAUCUUCCACCAAACUUUGCCUUGCUGGACCUUGUUGACUCAAAUGUGCAGGAUGGACCUGCACCAAGCCCCGAAUCUUCUGAUGUACCGCUUAUUGGAUCACCUAGUGAACCUCCUGCACCAAACCCCGGGUCUGGUGUACCGCCUGAUGAACCUGGUAAGCGUGGUCCUGGAAAGGGUCUACUGUAUGGCUGUGCUGCUGUUGUUGGAGGAGUGACUGCAGUGGCUGCAGCACCUGCUGUACUGACAGCUGUUGGAUUUACUUCCGCGGGCAUUGCCGCCGGUUCCUGGGCUGCAUCCAUGAUGUCUAUAGCUGCCGGUUUUAGUGGAGGAGGGGUUGCUGCGGGUGGAGUGAUAGCUACACUCCAGUCAGUAGGGGCUGCUGGAUUAGGUGCAGCUGGAGUUGCUGGUGUUGGUGCUGUUGGAGGAGUUGCAGGUGCCGGAGUGGCUGCAGGUGCUGCUAAGGUGGUUGAGGGAAUAUCUGGCGAUGAGAAAAAAGAUGAUGAACCUAGGAAAGGAAAUUAAAAAAAAAAUAAAUAAAUAAAAAACACUGCACACACACACACACACACACAUAUAGAUAUCAGACAUUAAAAUUGGAUACUGUUAUUUGGAUGAGGAUAUACUGAGAGAACUGAUUGUGUUUAGUGUAGGAUGCUGUUGUGUGGUCACCUCAUAACAAAAAAACAUAACCUAGUUAGAGAGGAUUCAAAGAGUAGCAACGAAAAUACUGAGAAACUACUGACAUGAGUUGUAAUGCAAAGGGAGGAAAGACACAUUUGCGAUGUAUAAAGGACUGUUACCCUUUUUAGUAACUAAUUUAUAUGUCUGUUUGUUUAGGGUAACACAUGUAUUGUUUAUUAAUGGUAUUCAGGCUCACACUUACCUAGCUGUCUGGGCUCGAGUAAGUUACUUGUGGCUCAGAGUCAAUUGAAAUUAGGGAAGUAACAAAAAGUCUUACCAUAAGUUGUGUAGUGGAAGUGAUGUGGAUCUGGCCAAAAGGACUGCCUUCACUUCUGCCAUUUCUCUCUCUCUCUCUGGUUAUAGAAAUGUGUGUUAAGUUUUCAAGUAUAUUAUACAGUCUUACGCGUAUUUACAGUGAGGAUGAGGAGUCGCCUUUAAAAGCUGACACCCAGAGGCACACGUCUUGGCGUUCGCCCAGUUCGUCUUGUUCUGCCUUCACCGUCACGAGUUCUGUCUGUCAUCAGUGAUGACCUCGAUUCAGCCAGUGUCCACCUCAGCACAUUCUAGAUGUGGUGCCACCCUCUCUCAAGGCUAACAACAACCCAACUCAUCUAAACAUCCAGUGGCACCAUACAGAACUUGUGUUUCGACACUUACAUUGCUUACAUUUCUGUCUACAUGAGGCAAUGGCCGAGUGGUUAGUGUGCGGGUUAGGUGAGCCCGGGGACAUAGCAUGGCCUAGGUUUGAGUCCUCACUGAAACACGCUGAUUUUUCAAGUCAUCGCUGAGUGGGGGAAGACCACCCACAUGCCGUCCAGAUCUUCAAUCAAUCCUAGCUUCAGCAACUUCGGUCAAAAGGAGCACAGGGGGGGCAGCAUGGGCCCAGCAAGAGUCUUACAUCGCGGCAGCCACUAUAAAGAAAAUUAGCCUGCGCCACUAAUAGCCUGGGGCCAAACAUAAGGCCCCUCAAGAAAGCCUACCGACGCUACAGUCAGCACACACACACAGACACACACACAGAAUAGUUUUUUAACCACCCGCUUCCAAUAACUACAAAAGUGUUUGCUAGCUACCGCUCCGGUGGCUCAAUCGGUAGAGCGCUGUACUGCGAGGCUUAACGGCCAAACAGGCGGCGGUUCGAGCCCCACUCAGGCCAGAUUCUUUCGGUUGACUAGUAGUGGUUACUGUCCCCCCUUGAGCAAGGGGGAUGGGGUGUGUGGUGUGUGAGGUCCUGGCAAUACCCAGAGAUCGAUGAUACUGAGCACUUGCUCUUGUUGGGAAGGUACCUGCUGGCGAAAGCGAGAGGGUUUUCUAAUGUAUAGUAGUGGAAGCACAAGAAUGUGCAAAUUUAUGGUGAAAAAUUCUAGAUGUCAAAAUGUAUGUUAGGAAAUUCAGCUUCAUAUUAACAGUACUGACAAUGUUAACAGUAAAAAGCCAGAGGAGGUUCAAAUGAGGAGCAUUCUUAAGUUUAAGAAUUAUAGAGGCAGGACAGUAUGAGUGUGACUCAAAUACUGUAAACAACCAUGUAAAUAUAACUAUGCAAAUACAGUAAACCCUUGAUAUAACGGACCCACUUAUAACGAAUUUUGGAUAUAACAGACAAGGUCCAACGGUCUGAAAUCCACGGAGACCGACCUAAAAUAGUUUUUAACCACCCGCUUCCUAUAACUACAAAAGCGUCUGCUAGUCACCUCGCCCUCCUCCCUUUAUCUGGUGUCCCAUCCUUCGGUUAUUGUAGUCUUUUUCAUCCCAUCUGAUGAAAUAUUUUUCUCUUCAUGGUUUCCAUUCAAAUGAAGAAUGUAUUUAUGUCACAAAAAAGUCUUGUGCAUCAAUCCAUUUAAUUUAAUGAUUUGUGACAGAAACAGUUAUCAGAUUAUUUCAUAACACUCCGAAAACUACCAAAAGGAAAAAAAAAGUUUCGUCUGCCAGUGCGAUAUAUUGGUGCACUUGUAAAAUUUUACCCAUAAAUGUAACAAUACAGCUUCCCCACAGGGCCCCACUGCCAACUUGGCAGCCUCACUGCCUCGUAGUUCAUUGCCAAGUGUGCUAUGUGGCUAUACAGACAACAUGCACACAACACAUACACCAAAAAAACUAUACCUACGUUUAUUAGGUUCGUCGGUAUUAUUUUACAUUUUAUUUUUAUUUUCGCUGCUUAUAACAAACUUUCGGCAUCAACGGACUAAGUUCCCCCCCAAUAAGUUUGUUAUAUCGAGGGUUUACCGUACAUACACAUGCAUUAACACAUUGAUCACCCGCUUUCCAGCUACUCAUGAGUAUUAUGCAUGGGUAGUCUUGGUAAAUCUCUCAGUGUGUAUAGUUUCAAAUUAUCAGGGUAAAGAAGAAUAUGGAAUGUGCUUGGGUGAAUACUAUUUUAGAGAAAACAAUUUCACAGCAACUGCCACUGCUACUGUCACUGCAGCUGGCAUGACCAACAGACUGAACAAAUAACUUGUAUGUAAAGUGGAAUUCUUGCAUGUGAUGAAAAAUAUCACAAGAAAUAUAUUUACUUGUCUUGUUGAUUGACAAACAUUUGAAAAAUUAUCAAACUUGAGUCAAAUAAGAAGAAAAAUGUUCAUAUAUUAAGCCAUGUUUGGAAAACAUAUACAUAUACGAGAUAAAAAAGUAUUAUAUCAUAGAUUGAUAAAUGUGGAGCUCACCUCAACACAUAAUCAUCUCGUUAUUUCUCUAUAUAAUUAAUGGUUUUCUACUUAGAGACAGUCUUUUGUACAUUAAUCUUCUCUGGGUUUUGUACCAUAUGAUCCCUUGUUAACCCUGCAGACAAUAAAGAUUUAGCCCUC